CUUGUAACUGUAAGAGAUGUUGAAGGAAGAUGCCUCUGUUCCCAUUUGUAGAUGGAGAUACAGAUCAGAGAGGCUGUGUAACUGGCCCCUGGACACUCACCUAGUUCAAUGAGAAGUUCCCUAAUCUUCUUUAAAGUUCAUUUAUUUUUCUUUUUAAUUGGGGGAUAAUUGCUUUACAAUGUUGUGUUGGUUUCUUCUGUACAGCAGUGUGAAUCAGCUGUCAGUAUAUAUUGAGCAAGGUCAACAGGGUGGCCAGUGAGCAUAAUCCAUGAGGUUACUGGUGUCCAUAGUAGCUUCAUAAUUAAGAAGCUGAGUGUGCCUGCUGCCAACUUUCUCACCUGUCAAUAGAAAAGAAAUAAUACCACCCCAUCUGCUACAAAGGUUGAUUGAAAAUAUCUUCAAGGAAACAGCUGGGUCCAGAAGCCAAGCUGGUGAAGGCUGAAUCCAUUGUAGCAGGGAGAUAAUUGGUCUCAGAAGAAAAGGCUUCCAAAAGCUCAGCUAUGGGCUUGGAAGCUUUGGGAAAUGAAGUGAAGACUGUCAGUGAUGGAUUUUUUUUUUUUCCCCUCAAGAGUGAGUCUUGUGCACAAAAAAAUGAUUCAAGGGU
rnacentral:lncRNA from 1 species